CUCCAGCAGACCAGCAUUUUAAAAAGUUUUUCUCUCUCAGGGGCAGGAGAUAUCUGGCAAUUCUGAAUGGCUGCUUGCAGAUAUGAUGAGCUGUCAAUACUCAUGUAAGAUUAUGUAAGUGACAUGAAACAAAAUUCUUAUAACCUUCAGCACUGUGGAAUCAGCUGAAGCUACGAUGGCUAGGAAAAAUGUCUGUAAUAAAUGGGUCAUGCAAUAAGUAUUUUUAGGGAACCCACUAUCAGCUACAUUUUUAUGCCUGGUUUGAUACAAAAUAUCUUCAUUGUCCUAAAAAGAGAAACAUUAAUUCUAGUGCAUUGCUGUGAGUAUAGUGACAGAAGAAGCCCAUCCUUAGGCUGGCUAGCCUUCCCUGUCAAUCCUAGACAGGCACACAACAUUCUUCAUCAUCAUGAAAGAUGUGGAAGAAGUCAGCUAGGCAGGUUGAAAGUCAGGGAAGGAACAAUGCAGCCGAGGGAAUUGGGGAUUUUUUAAGGAAAUGGCACAUAAUGGAGUAAGAUUGGGUAGAUGAGACGUACAGAAAUGAUACUAACAGCUGGGUAGGUCCAGGACACUAGAGAUCUUGAAUUUGAAAUGGAGUUUGAAUUUUCUCUACACAUAAUGAGAACUCGGUAAAUAAUUUUAAACAGCAGAGAGUGAAGUUAUCAGAUUAACAUUUUAGAAAGUUUACUCUGGUGAUUGUCAUGAAGGAUAGAGUAAAGCAACUAGGCACAGGCUACCAUGCUCUUGGGUGUUUAUAAAUACUUAGUUUUAUAUUACCUUCCACAAUGACUAGAUAUUGCUACCAGCAUUUAGUGGGAAGGAUCCAGAGAUACUAAAACUCCUUUGAGGUGCUGGAUAAUACUACAUCAUAAACAAUUGUCCUUCAUUGUGUUUCCAGUGAAAAAUCCUCAUUUAAAUAAUGUGUAAACCAGAAAUAUACCUGCAGAAAAAUGUUGCUGUUAGUUUUGGCCUGUGGUUCGAUUUUUGUGUCCAUUUGUAUGAUACAAUUUAUUUGCGGUACUAGGGGGUAUAGAACAAAUAGUCUGAAUGCUAUUCAUAAUUCCCAGUAGGCUAACUCGAACAUUUUCUUUCUCCCUCAUGAAAGCUUAUCUAAAUACAAUGAGCUGUAUUCUUAUAAAGUGUAGUACUGAAUCUUCUCAAAAUCACCCAUUGUAUGUAGUACUUAAUAACUUAUUUGUGACAAAUCAUUUGCUAUGCAUAUCAUAACCGAUAAUGCAAAAACUACUGGCCUAGAGAGCGAUAGAUGAGGACAUCAAUCACAGAAAACAAGCAUAGAGGAGGAGAGGACUUGGAAAAAAAUAAAUAAAACCAGACUUUUGAGACCUACUCUACAGAGUGAUUUCUCUUAAACUUUAGGUGUUCAAGAGUCAUUAACACAAAAGUCCCAAUUCUCAGACAUCACUGCAGACUUACUGAAUUGGAAGCUCUGCAGUGGGGCCCAGGAAUCAAAUUCUCAGCUACCGCUCUGAUCCCAAGACACUCUGGCCAGCACUCAUCCUGGUAACAUACUUCUCUCAAGGACCCCUCACUUCAGACAAACACAAGAAGCCAAGCUUAUCUGUGACAAUACAGAUAACCCUCCUGCACAGGCACAGUGCUCCUUACCACCCUUCCUCCAAAAAAAGAACCAAUCAGAGAACCAUUCAGCUUACAGAUGUUUUAAUCAUUAUGUCCCUGCCAGAUUUUAAAUAAUUCUUUAGGGAAAUAAACCAGCACUUGUGCUCAUGCCUUUGUUUGCAAAGAAAGUUACUUGCAAUGAGCACCCAGAGAAUACUUAAGGGGAAAAACCACUACCCACCAUGGGCCAUGGCCAUGGAAGUAGACAUUCUGGGUGCUCAGGGCCUGGCUCUGCAAGGACCAAGGGGGCAGUUCUGGUGCCGCUUCAUUCUGUGCAGAAGCACAGGACCUGAGGCUGGAUAGUCUCUUCUAUUUUCAAGGUUUAAUUCUGUCAUUCCCCCAACCCCGGUUAAGGGUCUAGUAAGAAAGGGAAAGGAUAAUGUGAAAGAUGUAAUGAAAAGAGAAAUAAAAAAUAGCUUGUGCCUUUUAUACAUGUGCUCUGUGCUGAGGUUUCAUACCCUCAGAAAAGCUGAACUUCAAACACAGACUAAGUGCAACAAAGAGACUUUGGCCCCAGAAUCACAACUCAGAAAGGAAAGAAUUGGGGCAGCACCAGCUGCAGAACACAGAACAUCCUCUCUUUAAUGGGAGUUUCUAAGGGGUAGGGAUGGAGAUUCUUGUGAACUUUUUUCCCCCUCCACUGCAGCCUAAGACAGGAAGGCAGCAGAUGGAUAAAGAGGAGGAAUUCUUUUUCUUCAGGGGAGCAGCAUAAUUGUGAUUUUUAUCCCCCAACGUUCUCUUCAGAUGUCUGCAGGUAACUCUGACUUCCUCUCUGGUAACACUUGUUUCUAUAUUAAAGAGCGCAUGGCCAAAAAACAUUCCAUAGCCUGUUGAAAACUACAUCUAUGUUGGGCUUGUAGGUUAUCUAGGAUGCAUUUUCUUCAGUCCUGAACCUCUAAAUGAAUGAAAUCCCUUCCAUUCAAAUGUGCUUCCUGGGCUUAGAGGUCUUGCUUAAUUGAAUAUGACUAAGUCUGGUAAAACUUGCUCCUGGCCAGAGCUGCCUCCUUUAUCAAGUCCUGAACAGACCAACUUGCAUUUGGAUUGCUGGUUUCAACAGAUGUGCUGCUUUUCCUUAGAAUAUAAAUGUCAGCCAGAAGAAGAAACUGAAAGCUGAUAUUGCGCAGAUGAAGACAGAUGCGAUGAUGCAAGUAUGUCAAAUGCAGAAGAGAAGGCCAAGAAGGCAGCCACUGAGUUGCUUCUAUCUCUAUUGCCUCAUCAUUCAAAACCUCAAGGGCAGCAGAGACUAGGGAGAGCAAGAUGGGAAUAGAUUUAGUAUAAGAGGUAAGGCGUGGCAUCCAGUCAGACCAGGCAUGGAAGAUUGUUUGUAAAAAUGUGAAGAUCAGUUGGACACUGGGCUAGUUCAGUCCAUUCUUUCUUUUCUAAGCAGCAAACAUGUCAGAAUUGAAGGAAUAAGUCACCAAUCCUUACUCAGAAAGGAUGGGAAAGAAAAUGGAGCAGAUAAGUAAAGAUUUGAAAGAAAAAUGGCUGAAUCAAGCUGAACAGACUGCCCUUGUGGAUGUAGAAAGCAAGCUCAGAAACCAGAAUCUGAGGCUCCUGAGCUGGAAGUCUGAGCUGGAUGCAGAGGACUGGAGGGAAGCUCACAUACUAGAAAGGGGCAUCAAAGAGCUGACCUGUCAGGUAUCCCAAGGAACCGUUCCCUGCAUGUGGCUGCACUUUACCCUGCAUAGAUGUGCUCUUUCAGCCUUCUAGGACCCCUGCCGUGCCUUAUGGAUAUUUGAUCUCCCUCUGCAGCCGACAUUGAUUCACCCUCCUAGGGUUCCUGUGUUAUCUGUGGUUUUGGUCUGUCCCUUUUCAGAGCUGGCAGAGAACAAAAUGUGAGUGGCAACUUGCAAUUAGAAGUGAAAAGCUAUUUAUACCAUCCUUAUUUUUCACACCUAGUGUUUGCAGCACUUUUAGAAAGCUGCCUUCCUGUGAGAAGCUGAGUGAGAACAAUGUGUAAAUGAAGGGAUUGAUAGAGGCUCAGGAUGGCCACCUGCAGAUUACAUGGGAUUCUGACUAAUUGGAGCAGGGGACAGUUCCACUAUUUGCAGGUUGCACAAAUACCCAAGGCCACUGAGGACUCUGUUCUGAUGGUAGUCAGGGAAAGCAAAUACUAAAGAGCAGCCUAAGGCUUUCUGCAUCUAAUCUGCUAUCAUUGGUCUCAAUACUAUUGUAAUUGAAAAGAGGUGGGCAGGUUUCUCACAAGUAAUUAAUAUACUCCUAAAAUAAUGAUGCAGUCUUUCGCCUAAACUUUCACCUUAUGCCCUUUCUUCCUUUCUUUCUAGUGGAGCACACAGAUUCCCAGAUAGCAGGGUACUCCCUCAUCCACAUUCUAAAGCCAAGUGGCCUCCUGACAGUGUGUGCACAUACUUCAUUUGGUGAGCAUAGAUGCCAAAAGUCACUGUCUAGUCUGCUCACACUGAACAAAUAUAGCUUAUUCCAGUGAAAAGACAAACACAUCUGAGGCACUCAUUUUUUACAGCUCUUGACAAUUUUAAUGCAGAAUCUGCCAUCCUGAUUCUGGCUCCUGAGGCUGAAUUGUUAGGAAUGUCAGAGUUGUCCUAUUGCAGCAGGAAGCAGUGUUGAUAAGAAAGCAGAGUACUUCAGAAGCAUCAUCUUCAGCUAAUUAAGAUGCAAUGAGCUACUUGCACAGCUCUUAUUACUAAACAAGUGGUUCUUUUUCUAAGAUGAAAUAGUCUGACACUUCUUUAAACAAUGUGAGUAUAUCAAAGCCCCUGAAGAGUGAGCCUAGGGGAUGUGUGGAUAAGUAAAUCCUGUGGGAACAUGAAAGUUUGCUAUUCUUUCCUCCUGUGGAAGAGGGUGCGGAAGCCACUCAUGUUGAUAGGGUGAAAGCCUGCUUGUUAAUAAUGUCUGGGGAUUUUCUUUUUUGUUGUUUUUUUUUCCUAUUGUGUUCUUCACACAACUUCAUUAUAGAACAAAACACCAAAGCAAUAAUGUUUUGGUUUUCAUUGUCCUGAGGAAUACAUUGUUGUGCUAUUCUGUCCUGUCUUUGUUUCUUCGUUGUAAUAACCUUAGUGUUUCUGAUGUACUAAUACUGAGGUGCAUUUCUUAAUUUCUUUCAAGUGUCUGCACAAGGCUUAGAGCAGAUCCAUUCAAUUAUGUAAUUUUUUUCUACUGUUAAAUUCCUACUGAGCACCUAUUUUAUGUAAAAUAUUGGAGUAUUUAUAUAAAAUAUAAAGAAAAAUCUUCUAUAUUUUUGAAACCAA